UACGGAGGGUGCGAGCGUUGUCCGGAAUCACUGGGCGUAAAGGGCGCGUAGGCGGCCGGGAUAGUCGGUGGCGAAAGCCCGAGGCUCAACUUCGGGUCGGCCAUCGAUACUUCUUGGCUUGAGCACUGUAGAGGCAGGUGGAAUUCCGGGAGUAGCGGUGGAAUGCGUAGAUAUCGGAAGGAACACCUGUGGCGAAAGCGGCUCACUGGACCAUUACUGACGCUGAUGCACGAAAGCUAGGGGAGCAAACAGG
rnacentral:rRNA from 1 species